AUUGAACGCUGGCGGCAUGCUUUACACAUGCAAGUCGAACGGCAGCGCGGGCUUCGGCCUGGCGGCGAGUGGCGAACGGGUGAGUAAUGCAUCGGAACGUGCCCAGUAGUGGGGGAUAGCCCGGCGAAAGCCGGAUUAAUACCGCAUACGACCUGAGGGUGAAAGCGGGGGACCGAAAGGCCUCGCGCUAUUGGAGCGGCCGAUGUCGGAUUAGCUAGUUGGUGGGGUAAAGGCUUACCAAGGCGACGAUCCGUAGCUGGUCUGAGAGGACGACCAGCCACACUGGGACUGAGACACGGCCCAGACUCCUACGGGAGGCAGCAGUGGGGAAUUUUGGACAAUGGGGGCAACCCUGAUCCAGCCAUGCGCGUGCGGGAAGAAGGCCUUCGGGUUGUAAACCGCUUUUGUUCGGGAAGAAAUCCUCUGGGCUAAUACCCCGGGGGGAUGACGGUACCGGAAGAAUAAGCACCGGCUAACUACGUG
rnacentral:rRNA from 1 species